ensembl:ncRNA K04A8.17 ncRNA
UCUCCUCAAUCUCUGCUUGGUUAUUCAUUGCGAAGAUAUCGAAUUGGGACAUGAAAGAUGGAGGCGCGAAAUGAAUCGAAGAGUGCGCAGACGUACAUGCGCGUAUCCACCAACACAAUGACCCAAAUAAGAUGUAGAAGCAUAGAGAGA